rfam:Cavia porcellus supercont2_2 genomic scaffold, whole genome shotgun sequence.
GGGGAUUUAGCUCAGCGGCAUAAGCGCCUGCCUUGCAAGCAGGCAGUCCUGAGUUCAAUCCCUG